rnacentral:rRNA from 1 species
CCUACGGGAGGCAGCAGUGGGGAAUAUUGCACAAUGGGGGAAACCCUGAUGCAGCGACGCCGCGUGAGUGAAGAAGUAUUUCGGUAUGUAAAGCUUCAUCAGCAGGGAAGUAAAUGACGGUACCUGUUUAAGAAGCCCCGGCUAACUACGUGCCAGCAGCCGCGGUAAUAUGUAGGGGGCAAGCGUUAUCCGGAUUUAUCUGGUGGAAAGGGGGCGUAGACGGCAGCACAAGUCUGGAGUGAAAUGCCGGGGCUUAACCCCGGGACUGCUUUGGAAACUGUGCAGCUAGAGUGCAGGAGAGGUAAGUGGAAUGCCUGGUGUAGCGGUGAAAUGCGUAGAUAUUAGGAGGAACACCAGUGGCGAAGGCGGCUUACUGGACUGUAACUGACGUUGAGGCACGAAAGCGUGGGGAGCGAACAGGAUUAGAUACCCCAGUAGUC